rnacentral:lncRNA from 1 species
CUUUUGUGUUAGUUUUGGCAGCAAGUUGUCUUUUUCGUUUUACACUGCUUCCUUAUCUAGGUCGUGUCAAUGUUACUUAUUUAGCAACUUAAAAUUCACAGAGACACGUGCAAUAUUCUGACUGCUAACACUGCCGUGAUGCUGUGGCCUAGGGAUCCAUAGGCUUGGUGGUGCACAAAGUGGUGGACAUCUGUUUUUGCUGCUCCCUGGAAGUUGCUGUCUAGGGCUGUGUGUGGACAUGUGGGGCUAAGUUAUCACUCUGGGAUCUCCAAUGGAUUCCUGCCUGGCCGUGCACACUUUCCCUGAGGUGUUUUGUUUCUAGCAUUGUUAAUAACACCACGAUCACUUUGUCUUGCUUUUUGGGAUGAUAUCUCUCAGAAGGAGGCUGUGUUCA